GACGAACGCUGGCGGCGCGCCUAACACAUGCAAGUCGAACGGAGCUGAGAGAAGCUUGCUUUUCUUAGCUUAGUGGCGAACGGGUGAGUAACGCGUGAGUAACCUGCCCUGGAGUGGGGGACAACAGUUGGAAACGACUGCUAAUACCGCAUAAGCCCACGAUCCGGCAUCGGAUUGAGGGAAAAGGAGUUAUUCGCUUCAGGAUGGACUCGCGUCCAAUUAGCUAGUUGGUGAGGUAACGGCCCACCAAGGCGACGAUUGGUAGCCGGACUGAGAGGUUGAACGGCCACAUUGGGACUGAGACACGGCCCAGACUCCUACGGGAGGCAGCAGUGGGGGAUAUUGCACAAUGGGGGAAACCCUGAUGCAGCGACGCCGCGUGGAGGAAGAAGGUUUUCGGAUUGUAAACUCCUGUCGUUAGGGACGAUAAUGACGGUACCUAACAAGAAAGCACCGGCUAACUACGUG
rnacentral:rRNA from 1 species